AUUGAACGCUGGCGGCAGGCUUAACACAUGCAAGUCGAGCGAGCGGCAGACGGGUGAGAAAUGUCUGGGAAACUGCCUGAUGGCGGGGGAUAACUACUGGAACCGGUAGCUAAUACCACAUACCAUCAGAUGUGCCCAGAUGGGAUUAGCUAGUAGGUGGGGUAACGGCUCACCUAGGCGACGAUCCCUAGCUGGUCUGAGAGGAUGACCGGCCACACUGGAACUGAGACACGGUCCAGACUCCUACGGGAGGCAGCAGUAGGGAAUAUUGCACAAUGGGCGAAAGCCUGAUGCAGCCAUGCCGCGUGUGUGAAGAAGGCCUUCGGGUUGUAAAGCACUUUCAGCGAGGAAGCGUUACUCUCAGAAGAAGCACCGGCUAACUCCGUGCCAGCAGCCGCGGUAAUAC
rnacentral:rRNA from 1 species